GAGAAUUGAGAAAUCAUUAAAAUCGGCAGGGUGAGAUGUAUUUCUUAUAUGAGAAAGAACUGCAGAUGGUGGUGGACAUAAGGAAGGCUUCCCUAUUAAUUAUAUCUCCCUCCAGACUGGAAAGUAUGUCUUGCGCAACCUAGAUCUAGCUUGCGCAAUUUCGGGAGAAAUGCGCGUCCUGACGCGCAAAUUUUAAAAAAUUUCUUGUUCGCCGCGCAUUUGUGAAAUUUGCCGCGCAGCGCGAGAAAUUAUUGCGCAAUAUCAGCACAUGUGCGCUGCAGCGCUGUUGUUUCCGUUGAAAAAAAUUGUUGCCUGUUGAAUGUCAAUCUUACAAGCUGUUUUGACAGGCAAGUUCCGUUAAUUGGUUGGUAAGCCAAUAAGCGUUUGAUGACUAGAAAUAUGAUAUCUGAGCAGAUUAACUACACAUUCUUUGCUUUCGUUUUCGAGCUUUCUCUUUUUAAGUGACUUCAAGGCAAACCAUAUCGAUUCUUCGGUGUAUUCUACGGUGAUACGUGAUAUUUAAUUAAACCAACUUGGGGUGUUCAAAUUUGUAAGAUGGCUGAGAUUCAAGCAGUUAAAUCAGUUUGCGUUUCAUGCAAGAAGGAAUGUGGAAGCC